GAUUAAGCUAGUAAGGGCGCAUGGCGGAUGCCUUGGCACUGAGAGCCGAUGAAGGACGUGAUAAGCUGCGAUAAGCUAUGGGUAGUGGCAAAUACACUGUGAUCCAUAGAUUUCCGAAUGGGGAAACCCACCUGACAACAUCAGGUAUCGUAAGGUGAACAAUUAGCCUUAUGAAGGUAACCCGGGGAACUGAAACAUCUAAGUACCCGGAGGAAGAGAAAGAAUAAUCGAUUUCCUAAGUAGCGGCGAGCGAAAGGGAAACAGCCCAAACCCAUCCCUUCGGGGGUGGGGGUUGUGGAUAGCUCAUAACGGAGCAGCGUUGUAAUCGAAGAGGUUUGGAAAGGCCCACCAUAGACGGUAACAGUCCGGUAGAUGAAAUGACAAAGCUUUAGAGCUACUCCAGAGUACCACGGGACACGUGAAACCCUGUGGGAAGCUGGGAGGACCACCUCCCAAGGCUAAAUACUACUCAGUGACCGAUAGCGUAUAGUACCGUGAGGGAAAGGUGAAAAGAACCCCGGAAGGGGAGUGAAAUAGAACCUGAAACCGUGUGCCUACAAGCAGUCGGAGCUCGUUAAUGAGUGACGGCGUGCUUUUUGUAGAACGAGCCAGCGAGUUACGGUAUGUAGCAAGGUUAAGUACUUAAGGUACGGAGCCGAAGGGAAACCGAGUCUGAAUAGGGCGACAAAGUUACAUGCUGUAGACCCGAAACCGGGUGACCUAUCCAUGGGCAGGUUGAAGUUGAGGUAAAACUCAAUGGAGGACCGAACCCAUUACUGUUGAAAAAGUAUGGGAUGACCUGUGGAUAGCGGAGAAAUUCCAAUCGAACUCGGAGAUAGCUGGUUCUCCCCGAAAUAGCUUUAGGGCUAGCCUUGGAAAUUAUAGUCAUGGAGGUAGAGCACUGAAUGGGCUAGGGGCCGUAUAGGUUACCGAACCUUAUCAAACUCCGAAUGCCAUUGACUUUUAUCCAGGAGUCAGACUGCGAAUGAUAAGAUCCGUAGUCAAAAGGGAAACAGCCCAGACCGCCAGCUAAGGUCCCAAAGUGUGAAUUAAGUGGUAAAGGAUGUGGGACUUCUAAGACAACCAGGAUGUUGGCUUAGAAGCAGCCACUCAUUUAAAGAGUGCGUAAUAGCUCACUGGUCGAGAGGUCCUGCGCCGAAGAUGUCCGGGGCUCAAAUUCACCACCGAAGCUGCGGAUUUAAUGUAUCACAUUAAGUGGUAGGGGAGCUUCCUGUAUGGGCAGAAGCAGUACCGUAAGGAGCUGUGGACUGUACAGGAGUGAGAAUGCUGGCAUUAGUAGCGAGAGGUAUGUGAGAAUCAUACCCGCCGAAAACCUAAGGUUUCCUGAGGAAGGCUCGUCCGCUCAGGGUUAGUCGGGACCUAAGCUGAGGCCGAAAGGCGUAGGUGAUGGACAAUCGGUUGAUAUUCCGAUACCACCAAUUUCCGUUUGAGAAAUGGGGUGACACAGAAGGAUAGGUUGAGCAUGCGAAUGGAAGUGCAUGUCUAAGCACAGAGUCAGGUCCUCUUGGCAAAUCCGGAGGAUGUCGAUGAUGUGUUAUGGGGAGCCCUUAUGGGCGAAGCAACUGAUUUCACGCUGUCGAGAAAAGCCUCUAUCGAGGAAAUUGGUGCCCGUACCGCAAACCGACACAGGUAGGUGAGGAGAGAAUCCUAAGGCGAGCGAGAGAACUAUUGUUAAGGAACUCGGCAAAUUGACCCCGUAACUUCGGGAGAAGGGGUGCUCUAGAAAUAGAGCCGCAGUGAAUAGGCCCAAACAACUGUUUAGCAAAAACACAGGUCUCUGCUAAGUCGUAAGACGAUGUAUAGGGGCUGACGCCUGCCCGGUGCUGGAAGGUUAAGGGGAAGGGUUAGCGCAAGCGAAGCUCUGAACUUAAGCCCCAGUAAACGGCGGCCGUAACUAUAACGGUCCUAAGGUAGCGAAAUUCCUUGUCGGGUAAGUUCCGACCCGCACGAAUGGCGUAAUGAUUUGGGCACUGUCUCAACAAUAGACUCGGCGAAGUUGUAGUACCGGUGAAGAUGCCGGUUACCCGCGAUUGGACGGAAAGACCCCGUAGAGCUUUACUGUAGCUUAGCAUUGAGUUUUGGUAUUGUCUGUACAGGAUAGGUGGGAGGCUGAGAAGUGGCGCCGCCAGGUGCCAUGGAGCCAUCCUUGGGAUACCACCCUGACAGUACUGAAACUCUAACCGGAGGCCAUGAAUCUGGUCACGGGACAUUGUUAGGUGGGCAGUUUGACUGGGGCGGUCGCCUCCUAAAGAGUAACGGAGGCGCCCAAAGGUUCCCUCAGAACGGUCGGAAAUCGUUCGAAGAGUGCAAAGGCAGAAGGGAGCCUAACUGCGAGACUGACAAGUCGAGCAGGUACGAAAGUAGGGCUUAGUGAUCCGGUGGUUCCGAGUGGAAGGGCCAUCGCUCAACGGAUAAAAGCUACCUCGGGGAUAACAGGCUGAUCUCCCCCAAGAGUCCACAUCGACGGGGAGGUUUGGCACCUCGAUGUCGGCUCGUCGCAUCCUGGGGCUGUAGUCGGUCCCAAGGGUUGGGCUGUUCGCCCAUUAAAGCGGCACGCGAGCUGGGUUCAGAACGUCGUGAGACAGUUCGGUCCCUAUCCGUCGCGGGCGCAGGAAAUUUGAGAGGAGCUGUCCUUAGUACGAGAGGACCGGGAUGGACGAACCUCUGGUGCACCAGUUGUCACGCCAGUGGCACAGCUGGGUAGCUAUGUUCGGAAGGAAUAAGCGCUGAAAGCAUCUAAGCGCGAAGUCCACCUCAAGAUAAGAUUUCCCACCGUAAGGGUAAGAUCCCUUGAAGAACACAAGGUUGAUAGGUCAGGGGUGUAAGCAUGGUGACAUGUGUAGCUGACUGAUACUAAUAGAUCGAGGGCUUAAUCUU
rfam:Clostridium cylindrosporum DSM 605 CLCY_22c, whole genome shotgun sequence.